rnacentral:rRNA from 1 species
UACGUAGGGUGCGAGCGUUGUCCGGAAUUAUUGGGCGUAAAGAGCUCGUAGGCGGUUUUGUCGCGUCUGCUGUGAAAACUGGAGGCUCAACCUCCAGCCUGCAGUGGGUACGGGCAAACUAGAGUGCGGUAGGGGAGAUUGGAAUUCCUGGUGUAGCGGUGGAAUGCGCAGAUAUCAGGAGGAACACCGAUGGCGAAGGCAGAUCUCUGGGCCGAUAUUGACGCUGAGGAGCGAAAGCGUGGGGAGCGAACAGG